GACUAUCUUCCACACCAUGAUAAUUCACAUUAUAUGCAUAAGCUUUUGUCCAAAGUCAACAUUUAGUAACCUUUUUUUUCUCGAGACGAAGAAAAUAUUCAUCGUUUUCAUUAAUAAGAAGAGAACUGCCUAGUUAAUUAGAGGGAAAACCAGGUGAAGACCUAGAUUACAAGUUUACAACACAACCACAUGACAACCUAACAAAGGGCACUCUCAGACAGCACGACCGUCAGUAUUUACUUACGAAUCUCUAAUAUCCGAUCUUCAAAGUUUUUAGUUAGCGCCCCUCCUUUUUCUGCCUAGCUGAUAGCUGCCAGCAACACAUUAAUUGACCCAUGGAUCUCAUGGUUGUAUGCUUUCCUUGAUAGUCUACUAAGUGUUUGAAUCACAUAAGAAAAUACAAAAGGCAGAAUUCAACCUUGUGCAACCGUCCUUUUGCAUAGCCUUUGCAUCUACUCUCUAGUUGUAGCUUCCUGGAGUACCUGUGUGGUCACCGGUUGGAUGUGUCCUUAGUUGCUCGCCAUUCGUAAAGGACAAUAACCUUGGGAGGGUGAGCCACCGGCUUGGCUUGGAUGGUUGGUUGGAGGAUCCUAAGUAGUGACAACAUGCCUGGGAGAUGCUAAGGUGGCCUUUUAGUGCUAACUCAUGUCAUGGGUGGGUUCCAGCUAGCAAUGGAGGAGUGUCCAAGUUAAAUCAGCCCAUUCCAAUUUAAUGUUGGUAGGUUCGAAAUGACAUCAAAUGUACUUGAAGUUGGUUUGAAUCAAGCUUUUCAUUCUAUUAUUUGAAAUAUCUACCAGGAAUGUCUGCAACGUGCCACCAUGUGGAUGUUUCUUGGCAUCGAUUCAACAACAUGGACCUAGCAACAAUGAGUCACGGUAGCAAACUGGUUCCGGAGAGAAUUAGUGUAAUGCAUUUCUAUUUUUCUGCAGUUGUUCACAGAUCUAUUUCUCUCCUCUUAAUUGUGAAUAACAUGCCAAAUUCGCCUUUAAUAGUAGAUAUUUAGAUAGUUUGGUGUAAAAGGACCCAUUGCACUCAUUUUUUGCAGCCAUAUAAUCGGUCCAUAUACAUGUUCUAGACCGUACAAACUAGCAUGGUGGUACUGCGAGAGUAGUUCUAAGAUAUCUUUGGGUCACCACAGCCGACCAAAAAUAUGGUGUUGAUUUUUUUUUAUUGUUGAUGUGUUAUAGAAGUGAGUUGUUUUGUUACUUCUGAGUAUCGCUGUGCUUUGUUAACUUUUGCUUCACAAUGAUGACAUGUGUGUUCAAUUUAUAAUUUAAUCUUUAAGCAAGAGGUGGAAAUUGAUCUGAGAUUCAGGAUUAUGCACCUGAUUAUUUAUACCUGUCCGAUCAUUCAUCGUCGUGUAUACCCACAUUUCGUUCCAUAUCAGAUUAUCCCUACGGGUUUGAGUAAUAUUUCUCAGAAUUGUGGUCGGGUUUAUAUGAGCAAGCUCAAGUUGCAGUGACUUAAACGCAGUUGGAAGAAAUGCACACACAAGAAAGAAGGUAUUGCAAGCGAGGUGCGCAUAUGAAGAUUGGACAGAGAAGUAGUGAAGAAAGAUGAGCACAAUUUUUUCUUCAAAAAGAAGAAGAUGGAGACUAUCAUCAAACUUUUACCUAUUUGUGUUUCUGGUGGGAUGUACAUGCGGAGAAAUGGAAAUAGUCGUAUCCAAGAAUGGAGCAAAGUGGGAGAAAUACAUCGGAGUGUGUGAACAUUUUUUUUAUAGAAAGACCAAUUGGUUCAAUACUUGGUCCCGAAACUUCACUCUAUGAUUUUGUAAAUAAAUGACAUGGCAUCCAAUUAAGAGCA